rnacentral:lncRNA from 1 species
AUGCAGUGGCUCUUCGAGCAUCGGGCGCGAGGUGUUUCCGUUACAGGGAGGGAAAGGUAAUGCAGCGAUAACCGGUACUCGUUCGGUCAAGUUGCUCGAAAUCCCUGCUCACUCGUUGAUCCAGGCCAUCGAGCUGUAUCUGGCACCUUUCGUGGUAAGCGUGAUUGGCGAACAGCUCGUCGACAUGGUGAGGGACGGUGGGAUCAUUAGAAACGUCGUGUGGAAGGAUUCUGUUCCCGAUUCUCCAAAGGAGAGUCGGGAACCGAGUGUCGGGGUCGAACCUUUCGUGGUAAGCGUGAUUGGCGAACAGCUCGUCGACAUGGUGAGGGACGGUGGGAUCAUUAGAAACGUCGUGUGGAAGGAUUCUGUUCCCGAUUCUCCAAAGGAGAGUCGGGAACCGAGUGUCGGGUUCGAGUCUGGUCCUCUCCAU